rnacentral:rRNA from 1 species
UACGGAGGAUGCGAGCGUUAUCCGGAUUUAUUGGGUUUAAAGGGUGCGUAGGCGGAUUUUUAAGUCAGCGGUAAAAUGUCCGGGCUCAACCCGGGCCGGCCGUUGAAACUGGGGAUCUUGAGUGGGCGAGAAGUAUGCGGAAUGCGUGGUGUAGCGGUGAAAUGCAUAGAUAUCACGCAGAACUCCGAUUGCGCAGGCAGCUUGCUAAUCCGCAUCUGACGCUGAUGCACGAAAGCGUGGGUAGCGAACAGG